rnacentral:tRNA from 1 species
GCAGACAGAGCUCAACUGGUAGAGCACAGGACUUGCAUAUCUGAGGUUCCUGGUUUGAUCCCUAGUGCUGCA